rnacentral:misc_RNA from 1 species
ACCAAAUUGAUUUCGGAAAGUAGGGCUACACCAUGGCCGAGGGUUUCAAGCUCGAGCAGAAGCACGGCAAGGCGAGUGUCAGAGUGGCCCGUGUCUGGCGUAGAGUCGCCGGCGGCGCCGCCGACCUCGUCGUCGAAUGGAACGUCAACAUCAGCCUUCUCUCCGACUGCCUCCCUGCCUACACCGCCGGCGACAACUCCGCCAUCGUCGCCACCGACACCAUGAAGAACACAGUGUAUGCAAAGGCGAAGGAGUGCUCCGAACCCUUGUCGAUGGAGAGUUUUGCGAUCCUUCUCGCUAGGCAUUUCACUAGUCUCUAUCCGCAGGUUACAGCUGCAAUCAUUAAAAUCAUCGAGAAGCCG